CAGGUGGUCAGGUAGAGAAUACCAAGGCGCUUGAGAGAACUCGGGUGAAGGAACUAGGCAAAAUGGUGCCGUAACUUCGGGAGAAGGCACGCUGACACGUAGGUGAAGUGAUUUACUCAUGGAGCUGAAGUCAGUCGAAGAUACCAGCUGGCUGCAACUGUUUAUUAAAAACACAGCACUGUGCAAACACGAAAGUGGACGUAUACGGUGUGACGCCUGCCCGGUGCCGGAAGGUUAAUUGAUGGGGUCAGCGCAAGCGAAGCUCCUGAUCGAAGCCCCGGUAAACGGCGGCCGUAACUAUAACGGUCCUAAGGUAGCGAAAUUCCUUGUCGGGUAAGUUCCGACCUGCACGAAUGGCGUAAUGAUGGCCAGGCUGUCUCCACCCGAGACUCAGUGAAAUUGAACUCGCUGUGAAGAUGCAGUGUACCCGCGGCAAGACGGAAAGACCCCGUGAACCUUUACUAUAGCUUGACACUGAACAUUGAGCCUUGAUGUGUAGGAUAGGUGGGAGGCUUUGAAGUGUGGACGCCAGUCUGCAUGGAGCCGACCUUGAAAUACCACCCUUUAAUGUUUGAUGUUCUAACGUGGACCCGUGAUCCGGGUUGCGGACAGUGUCUGGUGGGUAGUUUGACUGGGGCGGUCUCCUCCUAAAGAGUAACGGAGGAGCACGAAGGUUGGCUAAUCCUGGUCGGACAUCAGGAGGUUAGUGCAAUGGCAUAAGCCAGCUUGACUGCGAGCGUGACGGCGCGAGCAGGUGCGAAAGCAGGUCAUAGUGAUCCGGUGGUUCUGAAUGGAAGGGCCAUCGCUCAACGGAUAAAAGGUACUCCGGGGAUAACAGGCUGAUACCGCCCAAGAGUUCAUAUCGACGGCGGUGUUUGGCACCUCGAUGUCGGCUCAUCACAUCCUGGGGCUGAAGUAGGUCCCAAGGGUAUGGCUGUUCGCCAUUUAAAGUGGUACGCGAGCUGGGUUUAGAACGUCGUGAGACAGUUCGGUCCCUAUCUGCCGUGGGCGCUGGAGAACUGAGGGGGGCUGCUCCUAGUACGAGAGGACCGGAGUGGACGCAUCACUGGUGUUCGGGUUGUCAUGCCAAUGGCACUGCCCGGUAGCUAAAUGCGGAAGAGAUAAGUGCUGAAAGCAUCUAAGCACGAAACUUGCCCCGAGAUGAGUUCUCCCUGAGACUUUAGGUCUCCUGAAGGAACGUUGAAGACGACGACGUUGAUAGGCCGGGUGUGUAAGCGCAGCGAUGCGUUGAGCUAACCGGUACUAAUGAACCGUGAGGCUUAACCUU
rnacentral:rRNA from 1 species